rnacentral:rRNA from 1 species
GACGAACGCUGGCGGCGUGCUUAACACAUGCAAGUCGAACGGUAAGGCCCUUCGGGGUACACGAGUGGCGAACGGGUGAGUAACACGUGGGUGAUCUGCCCUGCACUUCGGGAUAAGCCUGGGAAACUGGGUCUAAUACCGGAUAGGACCACUGCCUGCAUGGGUGGUGGUGGAAAGCUUUUGCGGUGUGGGAUGGGCCCGCGGCCUAUCAGCUUGUUGGUGGGGUGAUGGCCUACCAAGGCGACGACGGGUAGCCGGCCUGAGUGGGUGACCGGCCACACUGGGACUGAGAUACGGCCCAGACUCCUACGGGAGGCAGCAGUGGGGAAUAUUGCACAAUGGGCGCAAGCCUGAUGCAGCGACGCCGCGUGAGGGAUGACGGCCUUCGGGUUGUAAACCUGUUUCAGCACCGACGAAGCGCAAGUGACGGUAGGUGCAGAAGAAGGACCGGCCAACUACGUGCCAGCCGCCGCGGUAA